rnacentral:misc_RNA from 1 species
AAAAAAUUAAAGCAAGCUGCUCUAUAAAUAUUUCUCAAACUUUGUUGAAUUAGCUUAUUAUCUACUAUCAAAGAUGGACAUCCCUUGGGUUUUCAUAGUGUUUGGCUCAUGGCUAUUUGCAUUAGCUUUUGUCUUUAAAAAAUUGAACCAUCCCAAAAGGAAACUACCACCAGGUCCAAAGCCAUGGCCAAUUAUUGGCAAUUUGAAUCUCCUUGGUUCACUCCCACAUGUGUCUUUUCACCAUCUUUCACAAAAAUAUGGAGAUUUAAUGCUACUAAAGUUCGGUUCGAAGCCUGUUUUGGUAGUAUCAUCUCCAGAAAUGGCUAAAGAGAUAUUGAAGACACAUGAUGCUAUUUUUGCAUCUCGUCCCGUGUUAGCUGCUGGUAAGUAUACUAGUUUUAACUACUCAGACAUGACAUGGGCACCUUACGGUGCAUAUUGGCGUCAAGCUAGAAAAAUUUACCUAACUGAGAUAUUUAGUCCCAAGAAGCUUCAUUCUUUAGAGUACAUUCGCAUUGAGGAAAGACAAACUUUAAUUUCUCGUCUUUAUCCUCACUCA